UGGGUCGCUGCGCACAGUUGGCACUCACUGCGCGGGAUUCCCACGCAGCCGUCGACCGGCGUGAAGCGCAUGCGCGUCAUGUCCGGACUUGCGCAGCGGCUACCAUUCCCCUCACCCCCCAGCUUCUGCAGCUUGAUGGCCUGGGCCUAGGGGUCAGUGACGGCAUCCAAAGCUGGGCAGUGCUUUGUUCUUGUCCUUGCUUGCGGGUCGGCCAUCAUCUGGGCGGUCCCCCGAGGUAGUCUUGGACAUGACAGGGUUGAGGGGCCGGCUGACGGACGUCUCAGGAUGGCCAACUUCUCCUCCAGGAAGUCCUGCACCUGGUCCUGCACCGUGGCCGCUGCAGCUCUUGCUGCUCCUCACGCGGCGCACCCUGCUGCUUCUCGCAGGCCUUCAUCUGCCACGCCAUCUCCUUCUUCUGGUGCAGAAUGGACUCCAGGAUGGCCUCAUGCUCAUACAGGACUCAAAACACACCCUGUCAUCCUCUUCUCUUCAAGUAUCACCUGGCGGCCAAUCACCAGUAUAUUUGGGGCAUUUUCAAAUUGCCUCCACACUCCAGCCCUCAGUUUUAUCUCUGCAAGGGUCCUGAUGAGACAGACUAGAGUGUCAUGAAUUCCCUGCUGGGUUUUGAUGUGGUUGGCUGCGUGCUCACCUGGGGUGCAGGAACCUUUUAAUUGGUUUCCGGAUUUCUCACAAGGUAUUUUGUUGGUUUUUUUGUUCUUGAAUCCAUAUCCAUGUCUCUAUAGGGGUAGGAGGGUCUAGGGCUUCCUAUUCCAUUAUCUUGCUAAUAUCACUCCUCCCAAUCUUCUUUUUAAAACCAGAACCUCCAAACACUGUCCACUUGAUUUAGUUAAGGAUCUUUAGCACAGAGUUUGCAGAAAAUCUGCAUGGUUGGAAAUGUCCAGAAGAGACUUAAAGAAAGCAUACCAGUGUGCAUCUGAGUUUAUUAAGCAGAAGCAGUGUGCUUGCCUUCUCCCUUCCUCAUCCUUCUCUUCAAAGAUAUUAUGGGCAAAUACUUUCAGAUUUCAUGCCAGGUGCUGGGGGGACAAAGAAUGGCACUACUCAUGUCCCCAUUUUAUAUAAUUAUAAACUUAGGUUCAAAAAAGUUAAAAAAACUUAACCAAGAACUACAUCUAGUAGUUGAGUAAGUUAGGAUUUCAAUUCAUGCCUGUCUGAACCCAAUACCUUCAAGAAAACCUUUGUUGGAAAGAAACCAAGACUUUUAGACAGCUCUAGACAACUAUCGUAGGUGUCUCUUAGGUUUUUCCUUUCACACAGUCCUCUUUCCUCUUUAAAGUUGUUUUUUCCUUUUUUCACCUCUGCACUUCUACUUGAUGGCUCAUUCUCCCUUUGUUGCCGACCUACACUUAGAAACCCAACAUAGCUUUGUAUGAAGGAAUGAUGCAAGAUAGGGCCAUCUUUAUCUUUCUCUGAGUUGAAAGGGAAAAUUAGAUUUCAUUGAAGAACCAGAAUUUGAGCUGUUGUAUGAUUUUCAGUAGAGUAUCCUACAUAUUUUCUUGGCUUUGGGCUUCUUUUCUUCUAUUUAUAAGGUGAGGGUUAGUGAAACUCACCUCCCAGUGAGAACUUCU
rnacentral:lncRNA from 1 species